rnacentral:rRNA from 1 species
UUAGCCCUAAACCCAGAUAAUUUUUUAAACAAAAUUAUUCGCCAGAGUACUACUAGCAAUAGCCUGAAACUCAAAGGACUUGGCGGUGCUUCAUAUCCCUCUAGAGGAGCCUGUCCUAUAAACGAUAAACCCCGAUAGACCUUACCAACCCUAGCUAAUACAGCCUAUAUACCGCCAUCCUCAGCAAACCCUGAUAAAGGAAAUAUAGUAAGCAAGAUUGUUAAAAUACAAAAACGUUAGGUCAAGGUGUAGCUUAUGAGUUGGAAAGAGAUGGGCUACAUUUUCUCAAAACAGAAAAAAACGAACAUUCUUAUGAUAUUAAGAGUUAAAGGAGGAUUUAGUAGUAAGCUAAGAAUAGAGAGCUUGGCUGAAUUAGGCCCUGAAGCACGC